AACUCCGACUUGUAUUCCCCGUGCAGUCUAGUCUAUGGAACGUUUCCUGCUCCCCCAAAUUCCCUUCUCGCCACACCUCCCCUUCUAUUCCUAUUGGCUCCCUGCCCACACGUGGUUUGCUUUAUGUCAUCGCUUACCAUCUUAAUUAUUGUCAUUUGUAGUUGGGUCUUCAGGCGAGAGGCAUCUGGCAUAGACGCUCUGGCUAUUUCCUUCGGGCAUUUCACACCUUGUAGUCGGCCACCCUUAAUGACAUCAUUGGUGCUGAUAUUUAGUCCUUCAUGGUUCUGUCGCCAUGUUUUUAUCCAGCUACCCCUCGGCACAAGAAGCCAACAACAGAAGAAAGUCAUCAAGCUUUGCGCCCUUCCUCUAGUCUUGAGUCUUGAAGCUGCGAGAGGGACAAACUGACAUAUGGAGCUGUCUUGAGACAUCUUGCGUCACAUGGUCAACCAACUAACAUCUAAGGAAUCCAAGGCUGCUGGGGACAUCUUGGGUUCAGUCUUGUAACAACCAGACAUGGAUGACUUGGUCUGACCUGCCAGCGGCACACACUACCAGAAGGAACAAAUGAGGAAAUGUUAAACAUGAACACUUCAUGAUUCAAUUGCAAUCUCCAAGUGAAAGCUGCUACAAGCUAAUUUACACUCGGUGGCUCUCCAAAAAAUCUAAAUUUGGACUCUGCAAUUUCAAAGUCUGAAUGUGGAAAUUGAAAACAUUUUAACUAGUGGAACUCCAGAACGAACUCUAAAAAUGCAGACUGACCCUCUCGCCAUUCUCGACGCAUAUACUUUGCAGAUUAACAUUUGAAAUGUGAUAAAAACCAGUAUGUUUGUGGAAAGCAUGUUGGUACUAGAGGUUUAGAAACUUCUUUUAACAAGAUCCUGAAUCUCUGACGUCUCUUCAAACAAAAGCUGCCUUCCUGGAAAGAGUUAUAUAUGUAUGCAGACGACAGUAAUUAUUCCCUACUGUAACUUAUUAGCCAUUACAAAGCAAAAACACGUCAAGAAAAUGUUCAAUUUAGGAUGGAAAAUACUUUGUCAUUUACGUAGAAAACUCUUAGAAUUUUGCAGACUAGUCUCAAUGGGUUUUGUGCAAGAGGCAUCAAGUGGUGUCUUCAUAUGAAACUCUUUCCACCUUCCUGCUUACAAAAUUUCACUUGUUAAGAGUUCUUUGUGACUUUGUAACCUUUUACAAUUCAAACAGACACUGAAUUUCAAACGUGUCUUUAGUGCAUUUGUAGCAUUUGUUGGACAAUUUUUUCCUCAAGCUGUGAGGCCAAAUUUUUAUAUUUGUUCUGAAACUAAAACGAAGGAGUUUUACACCCCACAAAUUUAUUUGCAGAGGUAAAUUUUGCCAACUGAAACUUGCAGUUAAAUUGAGUCUGGAAGUUUUUCCCUCGAAAGUUUGUCAGUGACCUCUUAAAUGCAGGAAGUGCACCACUUACAAUUAUUUGUACUCUGAAUUUACACCCACAAGAAUAAAACAGGAAGAAUUGUGA